GCAUGUCCGCCAGAGAACUACGGGCGAAAGCCUAAAACUCAAAAGACUUGACGGUGUUCCAACCCUGCCUAGAGGAGCCUGUUCCAUAAUCGAUAAUCCCCGAUCAACCCGACCACCUAUUGAAACCGUCAGCCUAUAUACCGCCGUCCCUUCUCGCUUACCUUUUGAAGGACACACAGUAAGCACAAGAGUCUUUAAACUAACAAAUCAGGUCAAGGUGUAGCUUAUUAGGUGGAGGAAAUGGGCUACAUUUUCUCCGACAGAUCAUCACGAACUUCGCUCUGAAACCAAAACGAACAAAGGAGGAUUUAGCAGUAAG
rnacentral:rRNA from 1 species